rnacentral:lncRNA from 1 species
UAAUAUAUGCCGGAAAAAAAAAACAGCAUAUAACUAUUUGCUGAUUUUUGUUCUCUUGGCUUGCGCUUCUUUGACACUUGUUACAUGCCCUGAUGUCCUACCGGUGUUCUGCGUAAUAUUUUGGGUUCUUCUGAAUCAUUCUCUUCCUUGCGCGAUUAAUCAUCUCUUAUUCGCCAAUCAACACUUUGGGGAGAAUCGUUUCCUCUGACGAAGCCAAUCUUCAAAGAGAAAAAAGGGCACACUAUUUAGUUUCUUUUUUGUCUGAGGAAACAAGACUCAAUUUGCUCCAUUUGAUCUUUUUCUAUACACAGUAGUUGGUGAGUGGGCCGCGCUAUCUUCCCCGUUUGAGAUUCC